rnacentral:other from 1 species
UAGGCUUGAGAGUGCUAGGCUGUUUAUCUAAACCAGCCUAGCUCUGGAGAGCAAUGUUGAAUCCCUGGGAAGUGAGAGCAUUGGGCGUGCUGAUUUAAAAACAGAAAAUGCAAAGUUGGACUGAAAAUAUCCUUAGUCUUCCAAGCAAUCUGCUUAAGGGUUCCAAACUUACCUUAAUUUGGUGAGAAAAGAAGCUGCCCUAUUUUCCUUUUUUCUUCUACAUCUGGAACCAGCCAUUUCCAGAAACCACCACCAUG